rnacentral:rRNA from 1 species
UACGUAGGGAGCGAGCGUUGUCCGGAUUUAUUGGGCGUAAAGCGCGCGUAGGCGGUUUGGUAAGCCGGAUGUGAAACCUCCAAGCUCAACUUGGAGCCGCCAUCCGGAACUGUCAUGACUUGAGUCAGGUAGGGGAACACGGAAUUCCAGGUGUAGCGGUGAAAUGCUUAGAUAUCUGGAGGAACACCAGUGGCGAAGGCGGUGUUCUGGGCCUGUACUGACGCUAAAGCGCGAAAGCGUGGGGAGCGAACAGG